AGCGAACGCUGGCGGCAGGCUUAACACAUGCAAGUCGAGCGGGCACUUCGGUGUCAGCGGCAGACGGGUGAGUAACACGUGGGAACGUACCCUUUGGUUCGGAAUAACGCUGGGAAACUAGCGCUAAUACCGGAUACGCCCUUUUGGGGAAAGGCUUGCUGCCGAAGGAUCGGCCCGCGUCUGAUUAGCUAGUUGGUGGGGUAAUGGCCUACCAAGGCGACGAUCAGUAGCUGGUCUGAGAGGAUGAUCAGCCACACUGGGACUGAGACACGGCCCAGACUCCUACGGGAGGCAGCAGUGGGGAAUAUUGGACAAUGGGCGCAAGCCUGAUCCAGCCAUGCCGCGUGAGUGAUGAAGGCCUUAGGGUUGUAAAGCUCUUUUGUCCGGGACGAUAACGACGGUACCGGAAGAAUAAGCCCCGGCUAACUUCGUG
rnacentral:rRNA from 1 species